GUGAAUGAAUCCUAUAGGAGCAGGAGGCGCUUAGCAGGGAGGUGUACCUCACAGGUGUGUGAGAUGGAAAAGUUGCCAUUUAUUUCUACUUGCUAUUUACAUUCAUUCCUGAAUUUUGAUUAUUUAGACAUAAUCCCAUUGACUUCACUGGUACUCAAUGUUAAGGUUCUAUGAGUGAAGCCAUGGAGUUAUGGAGCUUUAAGGAAGGAACAAUUUGGAACAAGUACUGCUGGAGCUUUAGCAAUGGAAAUCCAUGCUACCUCAUUUUAUGAAAAUCAAAGGUGAAAAGGGAAGAAACAGCAUGUCCUCUGUA